GCGGCAGGCUUUCCAGAUUAUUUGAACGUGCAUAAGUCUCGCUUAAAGAUACUGUUUGAAAACAUCUCACCAGGCUAGGUGAGAAUGGUCGAAUAAUGCGUGAAAGUACACGAGCGGCGGACGGCUGAGUAACGCGUAGGAAUGUACCCCAAAGUGAGGGAUAACUGCCUGAAAAGGUAGCUAAUACCGCAUGUGGUCUAAGGAUUAAAGCCUUCGGGCGCUUUGGGAGCAGCCUGCGUAUGAUUAGUUUGUUGGUGAGGUAAUGGCUCACCAAGACGACGAUCAUUAGCUGGUCUGAGAGGAUGAUCAGCCAGACUGGGACUGAGACACGGCCCAGACUCCUACGGGAGGCAGCAGUAGGGAAUUUUCCACAAUGGACGAAAGUCUGAUGGAGCAACGCCGCGUGCAGGAUGAAUGCCUUCGGGUUGUAAACUGCUUUUAUUUGUGAUGAAUAUGACAGUAACAAAUGAAUAAGGGACGGCUAACUACGUGCCAGCAGCCGCGGUCAUACGUAGGUCCCAAGCGUUAUCCGGAAUUACUGGGCGUAAAGAGUUGCGUAUGCGGCUCGUUAAGCAAGGUGUGAAAGCGUACGGCUCAACCGUAUAAACAUACUUUGAACUGACAAGCUAGAGUAUAUGAGAGGUCACUGGAAUUUCUAGUGUAGGAGUGAAAUCCGUACAUAUUAGAAGGAACACCGAUGGCGUACGCAGGUGACUGGCAUAUUACUG
rnacentral:rRNA from 1 species